rnacentral:lncRNA from 1 species
AGCAGCUGCUCCUGUGCCCGGCUGAAGAGGUCAGUGUGUGUGUUUUCUUGGACUUGCUCUGCUCUCUGAAAAUCACACUGUUGCACACUCACAGCCAAACAUAAUACACACCGUGUGUCCCGAGUUGCAUUGAGCAUGUCUGACUGUUUUAACAGUCUUCACCCCCAUGAAACAAACACGGAUGCCCAGUGGAUGAGAUGUUUUACAGUUCUGUUUCUGCUAUAUUUUAUGUCCUGCAUAAAAUUCAGAUUUCAUCUGAAGCAAACGUUUGGCAAAUAUAUGAUGAAUGUGUAGACAGCUGCUGGUCACAAAUACCUGGGGAUCAACAAUAAACAUGUUUAUCUGGACUCCUGUUUUAAUGGCUGUCAGGCUGCGGGGCGAUUCGUGCCAGAGUGACGGGAACAAAAGAAGAGCGCGAGCCAUUGCGUGGAUUGCAUUUAUUAAUGUUAAUGAUGUGACAUGCAGUUAUUCCUGUUAGAAUGUCAUGAUGUUUUUGUUUGUGUGUCGUCAGAAGAGCUAUGACUCUGCUUUGUCAGAGCGAGUGAAAUACUGUAGCGCGGUGGUUUGAGCUUCUGAGGACAGUUAGAUGGAGAUCAUGCAGGAAGACUUCCACACUUCCUGUCUUUAGCCCAGUGCUGACGGACACACACCACAGACGCUGUUCUUCAGGGGAAGCUCUGUUUACUCUACAGGUAACGAUCCAAAUCCAACAGACCCUCAGGAGGGGAGGUGCUCACUCACUUUUGUCAUUUCAUCUCCUCUGUGAAACCCAUUAGGUCAGACGUGUUUUCUGUGUUCGCUGCAGAUUCUGAGCGAUGGCAUUCCCCACUGCUUGUGAAGGAAACGUGGCCACGCCGUGCGUCUAUAACACGGGCCGGGGGAACGGCUCAUGCGAUCGUCUGUCCAGGUCCAGCAGCUGGUCAUCCUGGCACCCGCCAGCCCUUCAGCGAGCCUUUGAGAUAAUAAGUCCCGCAUCUGCCAAGAGAAGGGCUCUGUCUGCCCGGCCAAUUUACAACUCGCUAGUGGCAAACAGAGACUGGCGCCGAAUGUUUUAUGCGAGCUCUUUGAAUUUUAUUAAUGUAAUGCAAACACGAGCCUUCCAACACAUUAAAUUGUUGAUGUUAUGCGAAUACACUCUGGGACCGCAGAUUCUCAUUAACAUUAUUUGCAUGUUAAUCUGCAUCUUUUUAAUUAGUGAUAUUAUUUAUGCACAUAAUUUCUGCAGCAUGAUGCCAGCUCAUGGGCACAUUAAUUAAUCUACCGAGAUACCAAACUGUUCAGCCUCUCUUUUAUUUGUUUACACGCUGUUCUGAAUUCAGGGAAAGUGACAGGGAAAAAAAGAUGCCCAAAGAAUAAAAGUAAGAAGACAAGAUUAACUAAAAGCUCUUUUUGUUUUUCAUAAUUCAUAUUGUAAUAUUAGCCAAAUGUCGUGUCUCUUCCCUAAGAGAUCGGUUAUUCAGUUACACUACCUUGAUGUAUUAUUAAAAUAUAUAAUGGACUCCGGAG